GCUACAAAAGCUAUGCCUGUCAAUCAAGUAGGUGAUUUUGGAUUAGCUCUAAGGAUUUCGGGUCAUUUUAUCAGGGUCGUUUUUAGAGUUUUACGGGCUUUAGGUAUAAUAUAAAAAAAGGUACUUGCAUAAUACAUCAUAAUUCUUUUUAGCUCAUUGUUGUGGUUUUUUAGCUCUUCAUUUCGUUUUUCUAUUUUACUUUUCACUACCAAAUAAAUGUUUUUUAGACAACAUCUAAAAAUAAAUUAAAUACUCUAUACACCAAAACAAAAUAAAAUAUCGUAGAAGUAGAGAAAAAUAGUACAUGUGAAGUAGAUUGAAAUUUUAACGGCCCAUUUUCAACUAAAAUAGAAUUUGCUUUAUUAUGAAAAUUAUCCCAAUUUCUUGGAUAAUAAAUAUCGUCGAUAUUUUUAAUAUUAGUGAAGCACAUUAUCAAGAAAAAAGGGCCCCAAAAAAAUAUCACCAAUUUCUUCGAUAAUAAAUUUUCGAGCAUAUUAUUAAGAACAACCAAUUUUUUUUAUAGGAGGGUGUAUAUAGAAAUUUUUGUGCUGCAUGGGAUAUAUAUAGCAAAUCUCUCUAA
rnacentral:lncRNA from 1 species